AUAUAAGGUCUGACCUGCCCACUGAUUUUUUUGAAGGGCCGCAGUAAUUUGACUGUGCAAAGGUAGCAUAAUCAUUAGUUUUUUAAUUAAAAGCUUGUAUGAAGGGUUGGACGAGGUAAAAUCUGUCUCUAUUUAAAUUAUUAUAGAAUUUAAUUUUUAAGUUAAAAAGCUUAAAUUUAUUUAAAAGACGAGAAGACCCUAUAGAUCUUUAUAUAAAUUUUAAUAGUUUUAAUUAAGAAUAUGUUAUUUAUUAUUAUUAUUUAUAUUUUAUUGGGGUAAUAAAAAGAUUUAAUAAAUUCUUUUUUUAUUUGAACAUUAAUUUAUGAUUAAAUGAUCCAAUAUUAUUGAUUAAAAGAUUAAGUUACCUUAGGGAUAACAGCGUAAUUUUUUUAGAGAGUUCAUAUCGAUAAAAAAGUUUGCGACCUCGAUGUUGGAUUAAAAAUUAUCUUAGGUGCAGAAGUUUAAGAUUUUGGUCUGUUCGACCAUUAAAUUUUUACAUGAUCUGAGUUCAGACCGGA
rnacentral:rRNA from 1 species